UUCGCAAUGCCCGAAAGGGUGAACGAGCGACGCCGCGUGCGGGAUGAAGGCCUUCGGGUUGUAAACCGCUUUUGCAAGGGAAAAACUUAAUGAUGGUACCUUGCGAAUAAGAGGUUACUAACUCUGUGCCAGCAGUAGCGGUAAUACAGAGACCUCAAGCGUUAUCCGGAUUUAUUGGGCGUAAAGCGCGGGUAGGCGGAUGUAUUAGUCAGAUGUCAAAUCCUCGAGCUCAACUCGAGAACUGCAUUUGAAACGGUAUAUCUUGAGAGUGUGAGAGACCAGUGGAACUUCCGGUGGAGCGGUGAAAUGCGUUGAGAUCGGAAGGAACGCCCGUGGCGAAAGCGAGGUCCUGGACGUCUGCUGACGCUGAGACGCGAAAGCUAGGGGAGCAAACGGGAUUAGAUACCCCGGUAGUCCUAGCCGUAAACGAUGGGCACUAAGUAGAGGGGUUUU
rnacentral:rRNA from 1 species